CUCAGCUGAUCACACCACCCUCUGGAGAGCCGUCUAUCCUGCUUGGUGUUUCUCCUGAACCAGGCUGUGAUGCGUCCCAUCAGGAUGCUCUCGAUGGUGCAAAAGUUCCUUAGCACCUUAGACACCUGAUUAAAGUCCCUUAAGCAUUUAAGGUAGUAUAGAUGCUGCCAGGCCUUCUUCACCAGAGUGUUCAUGGGACAGGACCAGGACCGGUCCUGCAUGAUCUGAACACCAAGGGACCGGAUACUGUCCACUCUCUCCACUGGGGUCCCGUUGAUCAUAAGGGCUGGUAGCUCCUCUGCUGCUUCAUGAGUCCACCAUCAACUCCUCGGUCAGAGCUGGAAGUGUCCACACCGUCAGAGGUGGAAGUGUCCACACAGGCAGAGCUGGAAGUGUCCACACAGUCAGAGCUGGAAGUGUCCACACAGUCAGAGGUGGAAGUGUACAGUGAGUACCUCAGGAGGCUCGGGACACGACCUGGGGGCUUCAUUGCUGAGGGUGAGACAUGUCUGACCACCUGUCUGUUAGGAAGGUGAAGAUCCACUGACACAGGGACGGGUUAAGUCGCAGGUCCUCCUACUUGGUGGCG
ensembl:lncRNA